UUGUAACUGGCCCCUGCUACCUAUCUAUCCCUUUUUUCAACAGGAUCUCCUACACUUGUGUUCCUUUUCUCCUUUUUCUUGCCCAUCAACUUUGCUUUCCUUUAUUUUUACGGUUCUCUCUCUCUUGCCCUGAUGCCCUCUGUAUGUGUAUGUCUACUCACUCCUAAAUUCAAUUUUCUUCUGGUAUCUGAGCUGACAUUUGUUUUUCCCACUCUUCACAUACGUGAUCGUUUCUAUUGUUUGAAUAACGAUUCAUAAUUUUUCCUUUGAGGAGUCUUUUUGUAGUAUAAGUGGAGAUUUGGAAUUAUCCGUUCUGCAAAUUGUGUUUUAAAAGUCUGAAUUUGUUGCUCUAGACUCCCAGUAUGGAUUUAUUUGGGGAAAAUGAAGGUCUAAAUCUUGAUGGACUAAUUUAUCAAUACUAGGUCCUGUCCCUUUUUAUCUGUAGGAAGUUUAACUACCUACCAUCCAUAGGAACUUAUUAACAGCGUUGCAAAAGUUCAUGGUUUGUGUGAAAUGCAUCUAAAUUACUUUUGUUAACGUCUUGUACCUUUAUAUUUUCAUAUGUUGACGGUUCCCUUUGAUUAGGUGGUUUCUUUGUGUUUUCUGGUGUUGAAGAACGACCUGAGAGUGUAAUGACUUGCAAUAGAGAAAUAAUUGAGUGGUGUCACUAGAGAGUGAAUUUUCUUAAUUUUUUUUAUUUACCUUGCGAUUGAUAAAUCAAUUUCAUGUUUUCACUUUUGAAGAAUGCCAAUCUUACUUUCUUUCUAAUAUCCUCUCUACUAAAAAUUACAAAUUUUGGUGGGUUUUACCUCUCAUUUAAUGAGGCUCUCUUCUUCUUAUUUAAAAAUAAGAUCCACCAAAAUUUGUGUUUUCUAAUAAAUUUUAUGCAAUAGCAGUGUUGCUAGCACUCCUCUUCACCUUUUCUCUGAAGUUUGCUACUAUUGCUCUAUCUCUUUCUCCCAGUUAGCCAUUGAAUUUAUUUAUUUUGCCGGUAACAUUAUACUACCUGUACAUCUUUGUCAAGGAAAAAGUUAAAUUAGAAAUAGUGCCUGUGAUUCAGAUUUGGUUCCUCUUAACGCAGCAUGCAGAGAUAGGGCAGCUUUGCUUCGUUGCUGGGAUUUUCCUCCUUCUAGUUAUUUUGUGUUUUUGCUUUGGAAGAUAUCUUAUCAUCUCCCUGGUAGAACAUUAUUUUACUGAGUGAUCAUCAAUUUCCGUUGACCCAUCUUAUCUUUGAACCAUCUAUCAAAUUGAUGACCCCAUCUUAUUCUUUUUCAGAAUGCAUUCAUUUCAACAAGCUAUCUCUAUAUAUGUGCCUGCUUGACAGAUUCUGCUCCUGCAACUACCUUUGUGUUGUGCGUUUAUUUGCUGAGAGCAUUCUGAGAUAUGGUCUGUCACCAUCUUUCUUGAUUCGUAAAAUGUUGCUGGUUUGGUCGAAUAAAGGUGCCACCCAUUCUGGUCACAAAAGUAUUGUCCAUGUCAUGAAUAUGAUAGUAUUGUGCCACUGUUUGGCAAGGAAGGUUAUAAAAAAAAACUGAGAAUUAUAUACUUUACUGUUAAGUAUUUAUCUAUAAAUGUGAUUAUUGGGAAUCUAAAUAGUUACA